rnacentral:rRNA from 1 species
GAGAUUCCCCCAGUAGCGGCGAGCGAACGGGGAGCAGCCCGGAGUCUGAAUCAGCUUGUGUGUUAGUGGAAGCGUCUGGAAAGUCGCAGGGUACAGGGUGAUACUCCCGUACACUAAAACACACAGGCUGUGAACUCGAAGAGUAGGGCGGGACACGUGGUAUCCUGUCUGAAUAUGGGGGGACCAUCCUCCAAGGCUAAAUACUCCUGACUGACCGAUAGUGAACCAGUACCGUGAGGGAAAGGCGA